rnacentral:rRNA from 1 species
UACGAAGGGUGCAAGCGUUACUCGGAAUUACUGGGCGUAAAGCGUGCGUAGGUGGUGAGUUAAGUCUGUCGUGAAAUCCCCGGGCUCAACCUGGGAACUGCAUUUGUGACUGUAGAGCUGGAGUACGGCGAGAGGGGGAUGGAAUUCCGCGUGGUACAGUGAAAUGCGUAGAUAAUGCGGAGGAACACCGAUGGCGAAGGCAGGUCUCUGGGCAUUAACUGACGCUGAGGAGCGAAAGCAUGGGGAGCGAACAGGA